CCUACGGGAGGCAGCAGUAGGGAAUCUUGGACAAUGGGCGCAAGCCUGAUCCAGCCAUGCCGCGUGAGUGAAGAAGGCCUUAGGGUCGUAAAGCUCUUUCGCCUGUGAUGAUAAUGACAGUAGCAGGUAAAGAAACCCCGGCUAACUCCGUGCCAGCAGCCGCGGUAAUACGGAGGGGGUUAGCGUUGCUCGGAAUUACUGGGCGUAAAGCGCGCGUAGGCGGAUUGGAAAGUUAGAGGUGAAAUCCCGGGGCUCAACCCCGGAACGGCCUUUAAAACUCCCAGUCUAGAGUUCGAGAGAGGUGAGCGGAAUUCCAAGUGUAGAGGUGAAAUUCGUAGAUAUUUGGAGGAACACCAGUGGCGAAGGCGGCUCACUGGCUCGAUACUGACGCUGAGGUGCGAAAGUGUGGGGAGCAAACAGGAUUAGAUACCCUGGUAGUCCACACCGUAAACGAUGAAUGCCAGUCGUCGGAUAGUAUACUAUUCGGUGACACACCUAACGGAUUAAGCAUUCCGCCUGGGGAGUACGGUCGCAAGAUUAAAACUCAAAGGAAUUGACGG
rnacentral:rRNA from 1 species